UGCAAUAGAAUCGGCUCUCAAGGGCGGUUGCUCAUCUCCGGAAAGGAGGUGAUGCUAUGGAAGUUAAGGAUGCUUUAGCUUUGAUGUUUAUGUUUGGAAUGUUCAUCCUUGCCUUACUUUCCUACUUAAAAAAGAAGUAGACCUCCCUUGAGCGUAGCAGCCUAAGAGGUCUAACUUCUAUGCUUAAAAUUUAUGCCGAUCGCCCUUGAGGCAAUCUAUUGUAUGGACCGUAGAUGCUAUUAACAUUUACG
rnacentral:sRNA from 1 species